AGAGUUUGAUCAUGGCUCAGGAUGAACGCUAGCGGCAGGCCUAAUACAUGCAAGUCGAACGGACCGCAAGGUCAGUGGCAAACGGGUGCGUAACGCGUAAUCAACCUACCCUCUACUGGGGUCUAGCCCGGCGAAAGCUGGGGUAAUCCCGCAUACGUCCCUUCCGUGGCUUCACGGGGGGGGGAAAGGUUUACUGGUGGAGGAGGGGAUUGCGUCUGAUUAGGUAGUUGGUGGGGUAACGGCUCACCAAGCCGAUGAUCAGUASGGGCUCUGAGAGGAGGGUCCCCCACAUGGACACUGCGACACGGGUCCAACUUCUACGGGAGGCAGCASUANGGAAUAUUGGGCAAUGGGC
rnacentral:rRNA from 1 species